rnacentral:rRNA from 1 species
AUUGAACGCUGGCGGCAGGCCUAACACAUGCAAGUCGAUCGGAUGAGGGAAGCUUGCUUCCCGAUUUAGCGGCGGACGGGUGAGUAAUGCCUAGGAAUCUGCCUAUUAGUGGGGGAUAACGUUCCGAAAGGAACGCUAAUACCGCAUACGUCCUACGGGAGAAAGUGGGGGAUCUUCGGACCUCACGCUAAUAGAUGAGCCUAGGUCGGAUUAGCUAGUUGGUGGGGUAACGGCUCACCAAGGCGACGAUCCGUAGCUGGUCUGAGAGGAUGAUCAGCCACACUGGAACUGAGACACGGUCCAGACUCCUACGGGAGGCAGCAGUGGGGAAUAUUGGACAAUGGGCGAAAGCCUGAUCCAGCCAUGCCGCGUGUGUGAAGAAGGUCUUCGGAUUGUAAAGCACUUUAAGUUGGGAGGAAGGGUUGUAAGCUAAUAUCUUGCAGCUUUGACGUUACCAACAGAAUAAGCACCGGCUAACUCUGUGCCAGCAGCCGCCGCCGUAA